GGGCCAGUAGCCUAGUCUGGUAACGGUUUCGUCCGUUAACACCGAUAGGCGACUCCUAAUUGUGCUCAAAAAUCUUAAAUGAUUUUUGGCACCCCAAAAUUGCUUUGCAAUUUUGAUGGCUUCGCAACCGGAGUCCCCUGUAAAUUUGAUGGACAAUCGUUAGACAAAUAGGGCGACAGCCUCCUAAGCUGUAGAUCCGGAGUUCAAAUCUUCGCUGGCCCG
rnacentral:tRNA from 1 species